GACGAACGCUGGCGGCGCGCUUAACACAUGCAAGUCGAGCGAAGCGGCGGACGGGUGAGUAACACGUGAGUAACCUGCCUUAGACAUUGGGAUAGCCUCGGGAAACCGGGAUUAAUACCAAAUGGUCUAGGAUGGACUCGCGUCCCAUUAGCUAGUUGGUGGGUAACGGCCCACCAAGGCGACGAUGGGUAGCCGGCCUGGGAGGGUGAACGGCCACAUUGGAACUGAGCAACUGUUGAAACUCUACGGGAGGCAGCAGUGGUGAAUAUUGCACAAUGGAGGGAACUCUGAUGCAGCGACGCGGCGUGAACGAAGAAGGCUUUCGAGUCGUAAAGUUUUUUUAUAUGGGAAGCGGUACCAUAAGAAAAAGCCCCGGCUAACUACGUGCCAGCAGCCGCGGUAAUAC
rnacentral:rRNA from 1 species